rnacentral:lncRNA from 1 species
AUCCAGGCCUUUGGGAAGAUGUGGUUUUAUUAUUCACCUCAUUUUACAGGUGAGGAAACUGAGCCUGAGACCGAACAAGGGGCUCACCGACCACUAGAGGUGACCAGAAUUAGUGCUCCUGAAGACACUCACUUGCUACUCCAAGACUGGAUGAUCUGUCAGGUUCUCUCUACCCCUGACAGUCUGUGGAUUGGGGAGUUUUCAUGGUUUAAAGCUCAUACCUCUCUACCCAGAGAAGAGUCAACAUCACCAACCUCAGGGCUUCCUUGUGACGUGGACUAUAGGGCAUUCUGAUGACUUUCCUUCAAAUGCACAGUCAUGAAAUCAAACCCUGAAGCCUGCUCUCCAGGCCGGUCCCACAGAUACCAGGAGGCUAGGGCCAUGCCACAGGGGACAGAGGAGCUCUGCUGCACCCACCUUUGCUACAGAGGAGCCCAGCAUCCCCUCAGCUUCCCACUGCAAUUUUUCAUGUCAUUUUUUGAGAAAGGGAAGGUUCCUCAGCAAGGUCUCUUUGUUCGUUAGGAAAUACAACCCACAUUUCUUCUCAGUCUGAGAUGGGGCCCUCUGGGCUUCCCAUGCAACAGGAGAUCCCUGCCUCAACCCCAUCCCCUGUUGGCCACACACUGAUGCUGCAGUCAUAGAGCCAGGGGCAAAAGUGGCAGCAUGGUCAGGGCUAAGCAGAAGGAGCACCCUGAGCAGACGGCACCAGGUUUCAGAAAAAAGUGUCCAGGCACUCAGGCCACUGCUGCAAGGAACGGGGCCAAAAGAUCCAAGUUCCCAAUCAAAACCUUGACUCAUAAUCCCCCAGCCUUGGAAAAAUAGUAAAAGUCCAACUUCAAAGGAAGUUAAAUAAGAGCUCUGUUCUAGUUGCACCCAAAAACACAUCUCAGAGAAACGCCCCACCCAGACGCUAUUUUUCUAUCAGAGCUUUUUUGUGCUAGAGAGGAACCAGAGACUCCUUGCUCUGGACCCACCAUUUACAGGUAAGGAAACUGAGUCCCAGAAAGGACAAGCCAUGUGCUAAAAGUCAUGCGACCAGCAAAUGGCAACUCAGGGACAAAAUCUCUGAGCUCCAAUGCCCAGACUUGACUAUGUUCAUGACAGCCCAUGGAGUUCUUUAAACACUGAUUCCAGACCAGCACCGCUCCAGCCUUACCCCAGCCUUGCCAGAGGAAGGGGCUCAGAGAGGUUUAAGGUUAGUAAGAGUCCAAGGGGCUCUUUCCUAGUCCUCUCCCCCAGGGUGAGGAAAGUGGGGGUGAGAAGGGGUAGAGAGCGAAAGAGCAGGGGGAGCUACCAGAGGUGCAAGAUUCAGCUGGGCGCUGGCUCUCACGUGGUCACAAAGAUGUGCUUAGUGCAGCUCAGAGGGGCGCGUGUGGAGUGAGAAAGCUUACACCUAGAGAUGCUAUCUCACAUUUGUAAAGCAACUCACACUUGAAAACUGCUACAGAUAGACUCAUUUCAUUCAUUCCUCACAAUACAUCUUACGCAUAAGGAAACUGAGGCUGGAAGAGCUUAUGUAACUUGCCCAAGGUCAUUUGCUCCAGAGCUGGAGAGAAAGAACUCAGAGCUCCAAGUUCUGGCUCCAAGGUCCAUGUGCUGGCCACCAAAAUGCAUGGUUCAUUUGCACCAAAAUGCCUGGCUCAAAUGCAGUUGUUCCUUCGUUUUGCAGCACACUUCCAUGUCCAUUUCUUGUUUGAUCCUCACCCUGCCUGUGAGGUCUGCAGGGCCGGAAUUACAGAAAUCCUGUGUUACCACUGAGCAAAGUGAGGCUCAGAGGGGUCAGGGCUUGUCAGAGAGUGGAGAUGCCAUGUCCUUUCCAUGACGUGGUGUGACGCUGCCAGGGUCACACUCUCCCCUCCUCUCUGGAGUGGUGUCCCCAGGGCUGGAGUGCAGGGGAAAGGUGCACUCAGAGGCCCUGAGAACAGAGCAAAAACCCUUGUGGAGGAGCCAGUGAGAAGCUAGAGCCGCGGGACCCCAGGCCAGGGUCACAGAGAGCCCCUGAAAGUGAGAAUUGAAGGGUAUGGUGACCCCGAGAUGUGGCAGGAGCAGGUCACGUGGUGCCGGGCCACUUCUGAGGGAAGGGUGGUAGGCGGAGGGGAAGCUCUGUCCAAGGAAAGAACAAAAUAGCAGAAAGGAACAAAACCAAAGCAAAGGACAGAGGACCUGUUUCUGGGGCAGGGAAAGGGUCCUAAGGAAACGUGGGUCUUGAACUCCCGCUGUGACCUUGGGAAAAUCAUCCCCCUUCUCUGACCCCAGUCUCCUCCCCUAUAAAAUAGGAAAAUAGGGCAAGAUCAGAGAAUUUUCCAACACUUUGGCAGCAGAACACUGUUUUCAAAUAAUAAGGAUUAAUUAGUAGCUGACAUUUAUUGAGCAUUUACUACGCACCAAGCUUUGUAGUAAACAUUUUAUACACAGGACAGUAUUUAAUCCUCACAACUACCCUAUGAGUGGGUGUUCUUAUUAUCCCCAUUUUACAGAUGAGGAAACUUGAGGCUCAGAAUGGUUAAUUACCUCGCCUAAGGUUACUGAUUAAUAAAUCACUGAGUAGAGACUGAAACCCACAUCUGUCUACCAGCAAAGGCUGUCCAUACUACACCAUGUUAUCUCCAAAUGAAACCUCAUAUGAAGUUGCUGCAGAAACUCUAUGGGAAAAAAAGACUUUUAGAUCUUCUGGAACUACAACAUCUAGUCUCCGUGAAUCUGCACCAUCUCUUAGCACUGGGUCCUGGGAGGAGGGGGUGCUUCCACCAGCUCCCUCCCCUUCUUCCUGCCAUGUUCCUACUUCCUAAGAAGCAAAGACAAACUUGAGUUAGGAUCAACAUGAGGAGCCCACAGUGGGUUAAUGUGACAGAUGCAUCUCCCUGGGUGGCAGAGUGGGCUUCUUGUGGGGUGACAGUCACUGAAGUAUGCUUCCAACUCGAGAGUCCUGGACAUGUGUGGACACGACAGUGUGCUGACCACGAGUGAAUGUAUAGGCAAGUCUUCCUGGAAAACAGGCCAUAUUUCUCACUGAGGCUCCCUGGAGUGGCUGGUGGUCACAGCACCCACCACUUGGACACUUUGUCCUGCUGAUACUAAUAAUAGCAAAUAGCAUUAUCAUCUGGCAGGCGCUCUUCUAAGUGCUUUACAAAUGUUGACUUGUGUAAUCCUCACAGCAGCACUAUGAGGUAGGGACUAUCAUUAAUCCUGUUUUAUAAAGGAAGAAACUGAGCAGAUAGCCUUUAAGUAACUACCCCAAAGUCAGAACAGAGGAGCCCUUCUCAACACAUCAGAGACACUUAGGGGUGCAGCAAUUCACACUGCUCAAACAGCCUUACAAAUACUAACUGAUGUGUGAAAAGGAUUGGAGUGUGUUCACAGACCCCAGCAUCUCAGAGCUGGAAGUUGUUUUAGAGACCCUCAGAUUCAGACCCUUCGUCUUAUGCACAAACUCCAGCCGAAAGAGGGACGGUAACUCAGGUGAGUUCGCAGGUUUGUGAUAAAGAUGAGUCCAGAAUCCAUCUGUCCUCACACCUCCUCCGCCAAACAAGAAAGUGCAGGGAUUAUUCCCCAGUCUCGCUGAGGGACAACCUGAGAUGAUCAGUCCAAGGUCACCAGAGGGAGGAAGGCAUGAACCCAGCCCCAGAAUUCACGCAGUGGUCCUUCCCACGAACUCAGAUGUCCUCAGGACACUGAGGGGCUAAAUGGAGCCCAGGUGCAGGAAGGGACGGAGACCCAGCCGGCUCUCCUGUGAGGCAGAAGUUAUAACACCCAGCCCAGCGCCGACUCCUCCAACCACCCCCAGCUCUCCAGGGUCCCGUGGAGAUGGGGUGGGAAGGGAGCCAGUCAAGUACACACCUCCCUUUGAUAACCUGGAGCCCUGGAGCCGACAUUUGCCAGCAGGCUUAACCCCUUUUGUCCACGCUUCCCUCCUCAAGAAAACCUUAAUCAUCCUCAUUUGAAUUUCAAAUGACCUCUCCCCCUCCCCACCCCAACAGGCUUUGAGGCAGGGAUAUGGAAAUUCACCCUGCAGUAUGGAAAUCAUCGCCCUAUGCAAAUUGGGCGCCGAGACCCCAUCGUCAUAGCAACCACCCAGUUUCCUCUCCUUUCCGCACCUCUCUGGGCUCCCCGGCUUCGAUUUUUCGUUCCUUUUUCCAGCCCAAGCAGCUGAAGGGAAGGCAAGCCCCCUACUGGGGCAGGUGGAGUGUCCCCAGCUGAGGUGCCCAGUGGGGUCCAGAUACGCCAGCCUACCUGCCCACACCUCUCGUACAAACCUGGACUGGGCACACCCAGGCAAGGCCAACCGCUGGUUUUUCUGGCUGGGCUAAGCCAAGGGUGGGCUAGGCUGUGGUGGGGAAGACUGGGAGUCUGGGGGAGACCACGAGGCCCCCAGAGGUGGCAGGCAGGAAAGGAGACACAUGGGGGGCUUUGGUGGUGCCAGUGGUAGGAGAUGAAAGGCAGUGUGUGGAAGCUGUAUGUAAAAUGCCAUGCAAAUGAACACCUAUUAUUUUUUGAGUCAACAACAGCACUGAUGCUUUUGGGAGAUGCCUGCAGCUGUUUCCCAUGCUCCUGGCUUGGCACAAAGGCCUGCCCUCCCUGAGUCUCCCAGGGAUCUGCUGUUACCCCAGGAGCGCCCACCAGCAAGCUCACCAGUCCAGGGAGAGCCCAGGUGGGCACUUUGAACUCUUGGUGUCUGAAGCCCAUAGGAAUGAAACCCAGCCACUUAUGAGGGCUCUGGUCACACAUCCUGCCCUGUCCUGCCAGACCCCCAGGCUCCAAUGUGGGAGAACCCCAGAAGCCCCUGUUGGGGUGACCUCAUGCCGCUUUCCUUUUAAGUACUCUCAGCUUGACUCUGGCCCUCUUCCUCCAAACCAAAGCCUAUGAGGAAUGGGGAUGAGAGGAAGGGCUCCUGCUUUUCCCCCUUUCCACUUCUUCACCUCCUAGACAGUCCUAGGAGUGGGUCAUCCUGGGCAAGCCCUUCCGGGGGGAAGUGGUCUCCACAGACCCAUAACAAAUGCUGGCCCCAAACUCCAACUUGUCAUCUCCUCUGCCCCUCCUGUAGUUUCACAAACUUCCUCAAGCACCCAAUUCUGCCUUGAAAGAGCAACCUCGACCAGAAAAGAGACUGCCUCUAGGUGCACCCCCAACUCUGGGGUCUGAAGUGUAUGUCUGCUUGUCUAUGCGGGUGCUUGGGGGCUGGGUUGGGACAGACUGUAGCUGCAUGUCAGUUGCCUGGGUUCUGGCUGCCCUUCAAGGCCCUAAGACUUGUCUAAUUUGAACGCUCAUUUCUUUCUAAAUUCUUCCUCCACUUUUUCAGCACUUUUCCACAUUCAGGUGUUCAUCGCCCUAAUCGUUUCUGAGGGAGGAAGGUGAACCCAAGGUACAUAAAGGAUUUACUCCCAGCUUGGGGCUGGGGGAGUCUGCAAUUUUGGGUGCCUUAGUGAAGGGCUGAGGCUCAGAAAGCUGCAGUGGCCUGAGUCUCUGGAUGCUGCUCAGUCUUCCAGUCUGCAGGGUAGGUGGGUGUCAUGCCACCCCGGUCAGCAAAGGACAGACUGGGACCUCCCUCUCCUGCUGGGUCUCCCAUCAUCAUCCCCCAACAUCUCCAGGGAGGGAGUGAGAGGAAUGGUAAGGAGGUCAUACGAAGAUGUACCCAGGGUCAGGUGGAGCCAUUGCUCACGGAGGCCACAGGAAAGAGACUUUCUAAUACACAACGCAAACUCCACUAAGGUAGUGCACCACAAGGCAUGAGCCACCGCACCCGGACAGCUACCAUUGUCUUAUGUCCUCUGUCCCUGGUUCUCCACGUUGACUCCCAGUCUUCCUACCACCAUCUUUAGGUAGAAAGUCCCCGCAACGACCAAAGCUGGUCUGUGCACUGUGGAGGUCCAGGACCAGCUACGGACAAAGAGUGAGUAUAAGAACUUAGAAAUGUUGGCUGGGUGCGGUGGCUCAUACCUGUAAUCCUAGCACUUCGGGAGGCCGAGGUGGGCGGAUCACCUGAGGUCGGGGUUCGAGACCAGCCUGGCCAACAUGGUGAAACUCCGUCUCCACUAAAAAUACAAAAAUUAGCCAGGCAUGGUGGCACAUGCCUGUAGUCCCAGCUACAUGGGAGGCUGAGGCAGGAGAAUCGCUUGAACCCGGGAGGUGGAGGUUGCAGUGAGCCAAGACUGUGCCACUGCACUCCAGCCUGGGUGACAGAGUGAGACUCCAUCUCAAAAAAAAAAAAAAAUUAAAAAUGUUAAUAGCACAUCCAAGCACUCCAUCAGUGGGCCCUCCAGCUGAAUUGGGUGUGAGCCAUUUGGUGCUGUUGAGUACGCAUGGUAAGUGCAAGCUGCAGGCUGUCGGGCACAGUAGGUCUGGGUGCAUGUCUGUGACAGGCUGGAAAUAUAAACACUGGUCCUCCUCCCAGACUGUUUGAGAAGCAGUGCUCUAAAGAAUGACCACUCAUAAACUAAGGGAACUCUGGGUGGU